rnacentral:misc_RNA from 1 species
AACGUAGGAGGCGAGCGUUAUCCGGAGUUACUGGGCGUAAAGCGUAUGUAGGCGGUUUGUCAAGUUGCGUGUGAAAGCGCCCGGCUAAACUGGGCGAGGACACGUAAGACUGGCAGGCUGGAGGCGGGUAGAGGGGUGCAGAAUUCCGGGUGUAGCGGUGAAAUGUGUAGAGAUCCGGAGGAAUACCAGUGGUGCAGACGGCGCCCUGGGCCCGACCUGACGCUGAGAUACGAAAGCGUGGGGAGCGAACGGG